GUGAGGAAUAUUGGACAAUGGGCGCAAGCCUGAUCCAGCCAUGACGCGUGCAGGAAGACGCAUCUAUGGUGUGUAAACUGCUUUUGUACGGGAAGAAACACUCCCUCGUGAGGGAGCUUGACGGUACCGUAAGAAUAAGGAUCGGCUAACUCCGUGCCAGCAGCCGCGGUAAUACGGAGGAUCCAAGCGUUAUCCGGAAUCAUUGGGUUUAAAGGGUCCGUAGGCGGUUUAAUAAGUCAGUGGUGAAAGCCCAUCGCUCAACGAUGGAACGGCCAUUGAUACUGUUAGACUUGAAUUACAAGGAAGUAACUAGAAUAUGUAGUGUAGCGGUGAAAUGCUUAGAUAUUACAUGGAAUACCAAUUGCGAAGGCAGGUUACUACUUGUGGAUUGACGCUGAUGGACGAAAGCGUGGGGAGCGAACAGGAUUAGAAACCCUGGUAGUCC
rnacentral:rRNA from 1 species